rnacentral:rRNA from 1 species
GUGCCAGCCGCCGCGGUAAUUCCAGCUCCAAUAGCGUAUAUUAAAGUUGUUGUGGUUAAAAAGCUCGUAGUUGAACCUUGGGCCUGGCUGGCCGGUCCGCCUCACCGCGUGCACUGGUCCGGCCGGGCCUUUCCCUCUGUGGAACCCCAUACCCUUCACUGGGCGUGGCGGGGAAACAGGACAUUUACUUUGAAAAAAUUAGAGUGCCCCAGGCAGGCCUAUGCUCGAAUACAUUAGCAUGGAAUAAUAAAAUAGGACGCGCGGUUCUAUUUUGUUGGUUUAUAGGACCGCCGUAAUGAUUAAUAGGGACAGUCGGGGGCAUCAGUAUUCAACUGUCAGAGGUGAAAUUCUUGGAUCAGUUGAAGACUAACUACUGCGAAAGCAUUUGCCAAGGAUGUUUUCAUUAAUCAGGAACGAAAGUUAGGGGAUCGAAGACGAUCAGAUACCGUCGUAGUCUUAACCAUAAACUAUGCCGACUAGGGAUCGGACGGUGUUAUUCAUGACCCGUUCGGCACCUUACGAGAAAUCAAAGUGCUUGGGCUCCAGGGGGAGUAUGGUCGCAAGGCUGAAACUUAAAGAAAUUGACGGAAGGGCACCACCAGGGGUGGAGCCUGCGGCUUAAUUUGACUCAACACGGGGAAACUCACCAGGUCCAGACACAAUAAGGAUUGACAGAUUGAGAGCUCUUUCUUGAUUUUGUGGGUGGUGGUGCAUGGCCGUUCUUAGUUGGUGGGGUGACUUGUCUGCUUAAUUGCGAUAACGAACGAGACCUUAACCUGCUAAAUAGCCCGCAUUGCUCCGGCAGUGCGCUGGCUUCUUAGAGGGACUUUUCG